AUCACAACUUUGUUUGUGUGACAGCCCAGCAUUUAAAGUACAAAAUUCAAACUAGUUUUUCUGGAAAAACAGAAAAAAAAAAGUUUAGUCUGGUCUCGAUUACAACUGACCAUCAUAAUGACGUAAUAAACAAUUGUUUAUUACGCAAUUGACUUAAGUCAAUAAUAUAAAAACAGUGGUAUGAUGAUAAAAAUAAAAUAACUAAAUUAAAGUUUAUAGUUUUACUUUGGGGUAUCCAACAAAUCAAGAAAUAUCGCGUUUAUAUAUAACUAUCAAAAAGACGGCGUUAUAUACUGUAACAUUCUUCUGAAUCAAUAAAAAAAUCUUUUAACAUGAAAUACACAAUCUUUCUCGUUGUUUUGGCAUUGGUUUUUGUUUUUCUCAAACACGGAACUGGACAACCUGUUGCUUAUGAACGGAUCAAUGAAGCAGCAUUAGCAAGACACAGGAUAGCCAGGGAAGAAAAACCUGAUCCAUUAGAUUGUAAUAACUGUAGAACAUUCGCAUGUGGCCAGGCAUGUGCUGCCUUGAAUAAGCAAAAGGGAAAAUAACUUUUUGUAAUUUCUUUUGUUUCAAUGUAAAAAUCUUUUUCGGUUUUA